rnacentral:rRNA from 1 species
AUACGGAGGGUGCAAGCGUUACUCGGAAUCACUGGGCGUAAAGCGCGCGCAGGCGGGCUGAUAAGUUGGAUGUGAAAGCCUACGGCUCAACCGUAGAACUGCAUCCAAAACUGUCAGUCUAGAGUGUGGGAGAGGAAGAUGGAAUUAGUUGUGUAGGGGUAAAAUCCGUAGAGAUAACUAGGAAUACCAAAAGCGAAGGCAAUCUUCUGGAACACUACUGACGCUGAGGCGCGAAAGCGUGGGGAGCAAACAGGAUUAGAAACCCCAGUAGUCC